rnacentral:rRNA from 1 species
UACGGAGGAUCCAAGCGUUGUCCGGAUUUAUUGGGUUUAAAGGGUGCGUAGGCGGAUAAUUAAGUCAGUGGUGAAAUCUUGCGGCUCAACCGUAAAAUUGCCAUUGAAACUGAUUUAUCUUGAGUACAGUUGAGGUGGGCGGAAUGUAUCAUGUAGCGGUGAAAUGCUUAGAUAUGAUACAGAAACACCUAUUGCGAAAAGCAGCUCACUAAAACUGCAACUGACGCUGAGGCACGAAAAGCGUGGGGGAUCAAACAGG